GAUGAACGCUGGCGGCGUGCCUAAUACAUGCAAGUCGAGCGAACAGACGAGGAGCUUGCUCCUCUGACGUUAGCGGCGGACGGGUGAGUAACACGUGGAUAACCUACCUAUAAGACUGGGAUAGCUUCGGGAAACCGGAGCUAAUACCGGAUAAUAUAUUGAACCGCAUGGUUCAAUAGUGAAAGACGGUUUUGCUGUCACUUAUAGAUGGAUCCGCGCCGCAUUAGCUAGUUGGUAAGGUAACGGCUUACCAAGGCGACGAUGCGUAGCCGACCUGAGAGGGUGAUCGGCCACACUGGAACUGAGACACGGUCCAGACUCCUACGGGAGGCAGCAGUAGGGAAUCUUCCGCAAUGGGCGAAAGCCUGACGGAGCAACGCCGCGUGAGUGAUGAAGGUCUUCGGAUCGUAAAACUCUGUUAUUAGGGAAGAACAAAUGUGUAAGUAACUAUGCACGUCUUGACGGUGCCUAAUCAGAAAGCCACGGCUAACUACGUG
rnacentral:rRNA from 1 species